UAAUAUCUGAUACGUCCUCUAUC
rnacentral:piRNA from 2 species